rnacentral:rRNA from 1 species
GACGAACGCUGGCGGCGUGCUUAACACAUGCAAGUCGAACGGAAAGGCCCUGCUUGCCGGGUACUCGAGUGGCGAACGGGUGAGUAACACGUGGGUGAUCUGCCCUGCACUUCGGGAUAAGCCUGGGAAACUGGGUCUAAUACCGGAUAGGAGCCAUUUUUAGUGUGAUGGUUGGAAAGUUUUUUCGGUGUAGGAUGAGCUCGCGGCCUAUCAGCUUGUUGGUGGGGUAAUGGCCUACCAAGGCGGCGACGGGUAGCCGGCCUGAGAGGGUGGACGGCCACAUUGGGACUGAGAGACGGCCCAGACUCCUACGGGAGGCGGCAGUGGGGAAUAUUGCACAAUGGGCGCAAGCCUGAUGCAGCGACGCCGCGUGGGGGAGGACGGCCUUCGGGUUGUAAACUCCUUUCGCUAGGGACGAAGCUUUUUGUGACGGUACCUAGAUAAGAAGCACCGGCUAACUACGUG